UACGUAGGUGGCAAGCGUUUGUCCGGAUUUACUGGGCGUAAAGAGCGCGCAGGCGGUCGUUCAAGUCGCGUGUGAAAGCCCCCGGCUCAACUGGGGAGGGUCACGCGAUACUGAUCGACUCGAAGGCAGGAGAGGGUAGUGGAAUUCCCGGUGUAGUGGUGAAAUGCGUAGAUAUCGGGAGGAACACCAGUGGCGAAGGCGACUACCUGGCCUGUUCUUGACGCUGAGGCGCGAAAGCUAGGGGAGCAAACGGG
rnacentral:rRNA from 1 species